CCCUCCUGUGUGUGCUCCGAGCUACCGAGACGCCCUCCGUCCGAGACCAGGAACAAAGGAAAUCGACACAAAAUGCGCCACCGUAAGAAAAAAAGCUGCAAAAUGAUUUCCAGAUGAAAAUCCGACUUGAAACUCACCAGACAUGAUGACAAAGAUGAAGAGAGGAUCUCUGGAGAAGACCUGAGGGACUCCACAACGUCCUUUUCUGCCUCAGCAAAAUGGCCAAGAACGAAAUUUGUGCAAAAGUCUAAAAAAAUCUCAACACAAAAGUCUUACAGCAGGUUACAGCAGCAGCAGAGUUACUGUCCACGCUCCAUAGAGAAGACGUGACAUGAUCAGCAGCAGCUGCAGCCUCCUCCUCCUGCUGCAGCAGCGGUGCAGUGGCUCCACCUAGUGGUCAAACACCAGAACGUCCUCUCCCUCCGCCUCAAGUUUAACUGCUCUAUAGUAAAGCCUUCCUCCAUGUCUACAACUUUUAUUGCUGCAACAAACAUAAAAUCCCUUUUGUAUUAAAUUCUAUAUAUAUAUACACACUCACACACACACACAGUGUAAAGAUGGUUGAAUCAGUAUUUGGCUGUACUUUGACUGCAGCUGAUUUCAAGCUAAAAAGAAAAUAGAAAACAUGGCGCUCGCUGACAAUUACAAUUGUACAAAUGUUGAACAUGAUGAAAGUGUUUUAAAUAAUAAAGUUGAACAGAUCUGAUCCAUGUUUUUGUCAGUUGUUUGUUUGAUAAAGUUUGAUGAAUAAGAAGGAAUUUAUCUUAAAGUAUUUUGGGUUUACACUUUAACCCCCAUUUUUUUCCAUCUAUAUUAAUACACUGUUAGACACU